CUCCGAGUCCCCACCCCUCCCAGAAGCCCAGCUGGGUUCAUGUUUCACUGCUAGUGCCCUGGGGACUUUGCAGCUCCUAGCCUGGGCACUCCGGCAGCCUAGCGGGAGCUUGUCCCAAGAGGAAAAGGGGGGAAACAAGAAAGAGAGGGAGACCUGCCAUCGUGGCCAACGACCCCGCGAAGAGGCAACGGCGGUCCACGCAGGGGACCUAGCCUCCAAUCAGGCCCAGCAGGCGCCGGCCGGCCACACCGAGUGCUGGACCCGCCGAGCCCGCGCCCACCCGGAACCCGCACCGUAGCGCGCAGCCCCGGCUCCCGCCCGCGUCUCUUCCUCUACAUCUCCCCGUGAGCAGAGGGAGCCGGCUUCGGCCUCGGCCAGCCCCAGAGAGGGGCUGUCAUAGCGCACCGGCGGGCUAAAGGGCUCCUCGAAUGUGGCCAGAGCGGACGCUGAGGCCCAGGAGACGCCGAGAGCAAGCGAGGGCUGCUAGCAUGUUGCACCUCUCACUUCCUCAUUUUUUUCCUCUCUUCCCCGGUUCACCUUUGUCGGCUUGCGUCUGGUCCCUUCUUGACUGACUUCUGUUUUCUGAGAAACCACCAUAAAAAUUGUUCUCCCUGCCUCUGCUUCUUGGCCAACCCCUGUGUGGCCCUGUAUAGUGUUCUCCCUACGGAGCUUGAGCCUAAUUCUACUGCUUGCAAUAUGCAGUGGAGUCAACACUUCACUUGAUAGAAUGCUACUGAAACAAUAGGACAAAGGUACCAGUGGAUGAGAAUAGUACCAGAUCGUAUGAAUCUUUCUCCUUUAACUAAAAGUGCAAGGUGAAGCAGCAAUUGCUGAUGUAGAGGUUGCAGCAAAUUAUCCGGAAGAUCUGGCUAAGAUAAUUCAUGAAGGUGGCUACACGAUACAACAGAUUUUCAAAGCAGAUGGAUUCUACUUCUGGUGAAGAUGGGGUGAACAUCUCUGAAAUGGCAACAGAGGAUUCAGAAGAUUACAUCAACUUAGUUGGCAAAGCAGUGGCAGAGUUUGAGAGGACUGACUCCAGUUUUGAAAGCGGGUAAAAUGAUGUCAAAGAGCAUUACAUGGUGCAGAGAAAUAUUUUAUAAAAGAAAGAAUCAAUUGAUGGGAUAAACUUCAUGGUUUCUUAUUUUAAGAAUUUGCCAAAAGCACCUUAACCUUCAGCAACUGCUGCCCCAUCAGUCAGGAGCCAUCAACAUCGAGGAGAUCCCCCCACCAGGAGAAAGAUUAGGUCUCGAUGAAGGCUUGAAUGGUUGUUAGUAUUUUUCAGCUCUAACGUAUUUUUAAAUUAAGGCUUUUACACUGCUGUUUUAAACAUUAUGCUAUUACAUACUUAAUAGACUAUGGCAUAGGGUGAACACAACUUUUAUAUGCAGUGAGAAACGAAAAAAUUCAUAUCAUGUAUUUUAUUGGGAUAUUCAAUUUAUUGCAGUGGUCUGGAACUAAGCCCCCAAUAUCUCUGAGGUAUGCCUGUAAUUGAGCAUUCCCAUAAACUGUGAUACAAGCUAUGAAGGAAAACUGCAACGUGUCAGGAGACUGUGUAGCAGAGAUAUCUGGUCUAAUGGGGUGAGAUGCUCUGAAAAAAAUUGCUUUAAUUGCUGAGAGCUGGAGAAAGAAUAGUUAAUCAGGAAAGGGAGAGGAUUCUGGAGGAGGAGCCUCUGGCAGCAGGAAUAGAAUGGCAAAGUCCAAUUUGUGGGAAGGAUAGGGGCCCAUUCAAAGAAUGGAAAGGAAAAUAAAAUAGGAACACAGUACAGGAAGGAGUGAGGGGUAUGAGAAGAAACCAGAGAAACAAAGGGCUUAAUAUCAAGGUUUUCUACCUUGGCACUGUUGAUUAACAUUUGGGGCUGGAUGAUUCUCUGUUGUGGGGAGCAGCCCUUUGCACAAUUUUAGCAGUACCUCUGGCCUCUACACACUAGAUGCCAGUCAUAUUCCUUCCCUUCAGUUAUAACAACUGAAAAUAUUUCCAGAUAUUGCCAAAUGUUCGCUGGUGGGGGUGAGGGUGAAAUCAUCGCCCCCAGGUAAGAGUCACUGUUUUUGAUCAUGUAGAUCUCUUUAGACUAUGUACAGAUCGGGGGCCUUUAUAGGCAGAGCACUAGGAAAGUCCUGAAGGAUUUCAGUAGAAUCCUGUCAGAGAAUGUGACAGAUCUAUGGCACACAGGAUAAGGACAUCUUCUUUCUCCUGUAAAAUAAUCAUUUUACCUCCUCACAUAGCCCCCUCCGGCUAUACCAAGAUAAAAACUUUUACAUGUGAUUCUCAUCACCUACCAAUAAAAUGCAUAUGCUUAGCUAUCAAUUACGUUCAAAGAGUACCCAAACAUUGCUUUUGAGCAUAUUGUUGUGUCAUGAUUGCAAAGUUAUAAUUAUGAAUCCUGCAGGGUUCAUUACCAAUUCAUAUGUUCACUAGCUUAGAACUUUCAGAAAUGUGUUUUGGGGAAUCAAAUGUAUAUUAUGGCUCUAUUUCUGAAAGAAAGAUGUUUGGAGAGCUUUGUGACUAUUUGAUUUUUCUUGCAUUAAUCAAAUGACAACCCUUAUUUAGCUAGAGAUGCUCUUCAACUUCUUUUACCAUUUUAUUCCUAACACUCUUAAAGUGGUUGUAUUUUUUUUUUUUUUUUACAUUUGGACUUAGCAUUUGGUAAAAGCAAAUGCAGAACACAUACUCUGGCCAAAGGAAAAUUGGCCUUGAUUCCAGUCUCAGAUAUUUAAAUAAAUCAUCGUUGGUGGAUGUAUUUUUCUUCUGUAGACAGAAGUAGACAUUGAGGUAAGAAUCUUGGCUCAGAGAUUAUAAGGAAAUACUAAAGAGUUAUGUUUAAAUAUGCAACUUGGCUAGGCACAGUGGCUCAUGCCUGUAAUCCCAGCAUUUUGGGAGACCAAGGUGGAAGGAUCUCUUGAGCCCAGGAGUUUGAGACCAGCUGGGCAACAUGGCGAGACCCCGUUUCC